UUAUUGGAGGAUCGCCAUCCGUCAGCGCGUUGCGCCCACGGGUGCGAUUGGC
rfam:Defluviimonas sp. 20V17 contig182, whole genome shotgun sequence.